CUCUGAAAUUGCUCCGGAGAGCUUCAUUCUGGGCUGUCAGCUGACUCAAAGCCUGAGCAUGCUCCGUUUUCAUGACCAUAUUCUCAGACUGCAUUGUGCAAAACCUGAAAACAGCGGCAAAUCUAAAGAGUAAAAAGUAAUGUUUAGCAUCAACCCUAUGUAUGAACUGCAUUAUAAAAGCUUCUGGCUUCUAUGUCAGAAGAUCAAAUUCAGACAUUGGAAAAAAAGAAAAAGAAAAGAAGGAAGUAGAGACAAGCUGCGGUGUGAGCAUCUGCUGUGAUAUGAAGAACUAGAUAUUGAACUGAAUUGAACUGAAAAAUUGCAACACAUCCAUUUAUCCUCAUAACAUGCAUGUAUUUCUUUUCCUUUAACAUAUAUUUACCAAAGACCUAGGCAGGACUUCUGAAAAUAUAAAUUUCUACGAAACUAAGUUCAAGUAAUUGAUUAACUUUAAACUUCAGAACUCGGGGCAAAAGAAGGUGGGAUAUCCUACAUCUUUCUUGGCAAGAAAAAUGUCAGUACACCACAUCAAUUGUAGUGGAUUUGGAGGCACUCCAGAAACAAGACAAAAUUGUCAGAAGCAAUUAAACAAGUGCAUGUAUGGAAACACCAGGCAUAGGACUUGCCCUUAUAAGUGUAUAAAUAUAAAUUUAGCCAGUGCAGCAAAGAGCUCGUAUUUCUGGCUAUGAAGGAACCUAUUGUGGUAUACAGGUGGUUUCCAGAGGAAUGCAAAAGGAUAGGAUUUAGAUUGUUCCAAUGAAUCACCAUGUGGAUAUCGGGAAACAGUACAACAGAUUACAAGGAAAUAAACACUUUCUAUGACUAAACUAA